rnacentral:lncRNA from 1 species
AAGCAUGAAAAUUACAUGGGGCAUUCAUCAAGAGAUUUUCAUUGCCAAAUUUAUAAUAUAUAAGUCAGGGGCUGCCCUUCAAAUGAUCUGGUUCAUCAUACUCUCCCGUGAGCUGCACACCUUUAUGGCUUGAUUCUAAUUCUUCAAAGUAAUCCUCCCGAGCAUUGUCAGCUAGCAUAAGUGCAACUAACCAGAAGAGAGAUGAAUCAAGGGAAACAAAUGCACCCCCACCAAGAAGACCAGUCUUAGCAGUUAGGCACUGUGCCUGAGGAUUUGAAUGUACCUUGCGGCUCAAAUGAAUUUGCUCUGUGAUUGUUGGCCACAACAGCAGUGUUG